rnacentral:rRNA from 1 species
AUGUUCACGGCGCCGUUCGGUGGUUGGUCCGCUUUACAGUUAUUCAAGAUGGAACACAAGGAGGCGGGUUGCCAGCAGCCGGAGGGCCCAAUCCUAUGUGUUAAUAACUGUGGCUUCUUUGGCAGCGCCGCGACCAUGAACAUGUGCUCCAAGUGCCACAAGGAGAUGGUCAUGAAGGAGGAGCAGGCCAAGCUGGCUGCCUCCUCCUUCGAUAGCAUCGUCAACGGUGGCGAUGGUGGGAAAGCACCUGUUGUUGCGGCUGUGGCCGCGAGCGCAGAGGUGGCGGUUGCUCAAGUUGACGUGAAGGCGCUUGUUGUGCAGCCUGCUGCUGAUGUUGCAGGCACCAGCGAAGCUGUUGCCGUGAGCCCCAAGAGGAAGGAGGGGCCGAAUCGGUGCUCAACUUGCAGGAAGAGGGUUGGGCUGACGGGAUUCAACUGCCGAUGCGGUAACAUGUACUGUUCACUGCAUCGCUAUUCCGACAAGCAUGACUGCCAGUUCGACUACCGGACUGCAGCUAGGGAUGCCAUCGCCAAGGCCAACCCGGUGGUGAAGGCAGAGAAGCUCGACAAGAUUUAG